rnacentral:tRNA from 1 species
GGUCGAGUAGUUCAAUGGUUAGAACGGACGCCUUAUAAGCGUCUAACGAUAGUUCAACUCUAUCCUUGACCA